rnacentral:pre_miRNA from 1 species
CGCCCUCUCCCUCCGUUCCGAAUUACUUGUCACAGGAAUGGAUGUAUCUAGAUGUAUUUUAGUUCUAGAUACAUCCAUUUCUUCGAUGAGUAAUUUGGAACGGAGGGAGUAGUUG